rnacentral:rRNA from 1 species
UGGGGAAUUUUGGACAAUGGGGGAAACCCUGAUCCAGCCAUCCCGCGUGUGCGAUGAAGGCCUUCGGGUUGUAAAGCACUUUUGGCAGGAAAGAAACGUCAUGGGUUAAUACCCCGUGAAACUGACGGUACCUGCAGAAUAAGCACCGGCUAACUACGUGCCAGCAGCCGCGGUAAUACGUAGGGUGCAAGCGUUAAUCGGAAUUACUGGGCGUAAAGCGUGCGCAGGCGGUUCGGAAAGAAAGAUGUGAAAUCCCAGAGCUCAACUUUGGAACUGCAUUUUUAACUACCGGGCUAGAGUGUGUCAGAGGGAGGUGGAAUUCCGCGUGUAACAGUGAAAUGCGUAGAUAUGCGGAGGAACACCGAUGGCGAAGGCAGCCUCCUGGGAUAACACUGACGCUCAUGCACGAAAGCGUGGGGAGCAAACAGG